GUGCUUGCUUCAGCAGCACAUAUAUUAAAAUUGGAACGAUACAGAGAAGAUUAACAUGGCCCCUGCACAAGGAUGACAUGCAAAUUCAUAAAGCGUUCCAUAUUUUU